GACGUAGGGCGCGAGCGUUGUCCGGAUUUAUUGGGCGUAAAGAGCUCGUAGGCGGCUUGUCGCGUCGUCCGUGAAAACUUGGGGCUCAACCCCAAGCCUGCGGUCGAUACGGGCAGGCUCGAGUUCGGUAGGGGAGACUGGAAUUCCUGGUGUAGCGGUGAAAUGCGCAGAUAUCAGGAGGAACACCGGUGGCGAAGGCGGGUCUCUGGGCCGAUACUGACGCUGAGGAGCGAAAGCGUGGGGAGCGAACAGG
rnacentral:rRNA from 1 species